GACGAACGCUGGCGGCGUGCCUAAUACAUGCAAGUCGAGCGAAGUUUUUCUGGUGCUUGCACUAGAAAAACUUAGCGGCGAACGGGUGAGUAACACGUAAAGAACCUGCCUCAUAGACGGGGACAACUAUUGGAAACGAUAGCUAAUACCGGAUAACAGCAUAAAUCGCAUGAUAUAUGUUUAAAAGUUGGUUUCGGCUAACACUAUGAGAUGGCUUUGCGGUGCAUUAGCUAGUUGGUGGGGUAAAGGCCUACCAAGGCGACGAUGCAUAGCCGACCUGAGAGGGUGAUCGGCCACACUGGGACUGAGACACGGCCCAGACUCCUACGGGAGGCAGCAGUAGGGAAUCUUCCGCAAUGGGCGAAAGCCUGACGGAGCAACGCCGCGUGAGUGAAGAAGGAUUUCGGUUCGUAAAGCUCUGUUGUUAGGGAAGAAUGAUUGUAUAGUAACUAUAUACAGUAGAGACGGUACCUAACCAGAAAGCCACGGCUAACUACGUGC
rnacentral:rRNA from 1 species